rnacentral:rRNA from 1 species
UUUGUUACUUCAAACCAAUCGGACUUCGGUCUGACAUCAAGUGAUAUUGAACAAUUUAGCUGAUCGCACGGUCUAAGAACCGGCGACAUAUCCUUCAAAUGUCUGCCUUAUCAACUUUCGAUGGUAGAUUAUGCGCCUACCAUGGUUGUAACGGGUAACGGAGAAUCAGGGUUUGAUUCCGGAGAGGGAGCCUGAGAAACGGCUACCACAUCCAAGGAAGGCRGCAGGCACGCAAAUUACCCACUCCCGGCACGGGGAGGUAGCGACRAAAAAWAACAAGCUGGUCUCAAUGAGUUCCAGCAUUGUAAUGGGAACAAUUUAAAUCUUUUAUCGAGGAUCUAUUGGAGGGCAAGUCUGGUGCCAGCAGCCGCGGUAAUUCCAGCUCCAAUAGCGUAUAUUAAAGUUGUUGCGCGUUAAAAAGCUCGUAGUUGGAUCUAGGAUAAGGGCUACGGUCGUUCAGCUYUUGACAURCUGUGUGCGCCGACACUYUUUCUCUCUWRUAUUCKAUGUGUUGCUCUUAAAUGAGUGACUUUWGUUGCUGGAACUUUUACCUUGAAAAUUUAAAGUGCUCAAAGC